rnacentral:pre_miRNA from 1 species
GUAGGCGAACAUGUAUCUGGUGCACGGUUUUAGUUAAAGUUUCGUGACUAGAUUACAUGCUCGUCUAUU